rnacentral:tRNA from 1 species
AAGGUCUUAAGUUAAAAAAACUAAUAACCUUCAAAGCUAUAAAUAAAGAAUAUCUCUUUAGGCCUUA